GCUCCUACGGGCGGCAGCAGUGGGGAAUCUUGGACAAUGGGGGAAACCCUGAUCCAGCCAUGCCGCGUGAAUGAUGAAGGCCUUAGGGUUGUAAAGUUCUUUCGCCAGGGAAGAUAAUGACGGUACCUGGAUAAGAAGCCCCGGCUAACUUCGUGCCAGCAGCCGCGGUAAUACGAAGGGGGCUAGCGUUGUUCGGAAUUACUGGGCGUAAAGCGCACGUAGGCGGCUUUCCAAGUUGGAGGUGAAAUCCCUGGGCUUAACCUAGGAACUGCCUCCAAGACUGGGAAGCUCGAGUCCGAGAGAGGUGAGUGGAAUUUCCAGUGUAGAGGUGAAAUUCGUAGAUAUUGGAAAGAACACCAGUGGCGAAGGCGGCUCACUGGCUCGGUACUGACGCUGAGGUGCGACAGCGUGGGGAGCAAACAGGAUUAGAUACCCCGGUAGUC
rnacentral:rRNA from 1 species